rnacentral:rRNA from 1 species
AUGAACGCUAGCUACAGGCUUAACACAUGCAAGUCGAGGGGCAGCAUGGUCUUAGCUUGCUAAGGCCGAUGGCGACCGGCGCACGGGUGAGUAACACGUAUCCAACCUGCCGUCUACUCUUGGACAGCCUUCUGAAAGGAAGAUUAAUACAAGAUGGCAUCAUGAGUCCACAUGUUCACAUGAUUAAAGGUAUUCCGGUAGACGAUGGGGAUGCGUUCCAUUAGAUAGUAGGCGGGGUAACGGCCCACCUAGUCUUCGAUGGAUAGGGGUUCUGAGAGGAAGGUCCCCCACAUUGGAACUGAGACACGGUCCAAACUCCUACGGGAGGCAGCAGUGAGGAAUAUUGGUCAAUGGGCGAGAGCCUGAACCAGCCAAGUAGCGUGAAGGAUGACUGCCCUAUGGGUUGUAAACUUCUUUUGUAAAGGAAUAAAGUCGGGUAUGGAUACCCGUUUGCAUGUACUUUAUGAAUAAGGAUCGGCUAACUCCGUGCCAGCAGCCGCGGUAAUACGGAGGAUCCGAGCGUUAUCCGGAUUUAUUGGGUUUAAAGGGAGCGUAGAUGGAUGUUUAAGUCAGUUGUGAAAGUUUGCGGCUCAACCGUAAAAUUGCAGUUGAUACUGGAUAUCUUGAGUGCAGUUGAGGCAGGCGGAAUUCGUGGUGUAGCGGUGAAAUGCUUAGAUAUCACGAAGAACUCCGAUUGCGAAGGCAGCCUGCUAAGCUGCAACUGACAUUGAGGCUCGAAAGUGUGGGUAUCAAACAGGAUUAGAUACCCUGGUAGUCCACACGGUAAACGAUGAAUACUCGCUGUUUGCGAUAUACGGCAAGCGGCCAAGCGAAAGCGUUAAGUAUUCCACCUGGGGAGUACGCCGGCAACGGUGAAACUCAAAGGAAUUGACGGGGGCCCGCACAAGCAGUGGAGUAUGUGGUUUAAUUCGAAGCAACGCGAAGAACCUUACCAAGGCUUGACAUAUACAGGAAUAUUUAAGAGAUUAAAUAGCUCUUCGGAGUCUGUAUACAGGUGGUGCAUGGUUGUCGUCAGCUCGUGCCGUGAGGUGUCGGCUUAAGUGCCAUAACGAGCGCAACCCUUGUUGUCAGUUACUAACAGGUUUCGCUGAGGACUCUGACAAGACUGCCAUCGUAAGAUGUGAGGAAGGUGGGGAUGACGUCAAAUCAGCACGGCCCUUACGUCCGGGGCUACACACGUGUUACAAUGGGGGGUACAGAGGGCCGCUACCACGCGAGUGGAUGCCAAUCCCAAAAACCUCUCUCAGUUCGGACUGGAGUCUGCAACCCGACUCCACGAAGCUGGAUUCGCUAGUAAUCGCGCAUCAGCCACGGCGCGGUGAAUACGUUCCCGGGCCUUGUACACACCGCCCGUCAAGCCAUGGGAGCCGGGGGUACCUGAAGUGCGUAACCGCGAGGAGCGCCCUAGGGUAAAACUGGUGACUGGGGCU